GCCCGCACGAGGUGCGUGUACCACGGAGAGGGAUAGAGCGCGGGAAUGAAGGAGGCACAUGUCACUCGAUGAGGCCAGGCCCUCCAUUGUCACGCCGCUCCAUGCGGCCCAGGUGGAGAGAGAGGACGCCAGGUAGCGGGUGGGCGGUAGACACGGGCAGACCUGGGCCUGUACUCCAGCACGGCCACUGACCAGAUUACGCCUUUGGUGAGUCCCUGCACCUCUCUGAGCCUCAGUUUACCCACCAGUAAAAUGGGGACGGUAACAGUAUCUCCCUCACAGGAUGACAGAUGAAACAGUCAUGGAUGCAAAGAACCUGACACACGGUGCUCAGGACGUGAGUCUCCUUGUCAGGACGCUGGUGAGAGGGGCGUGUUCACGGCCUCGGACCUCCAGCAGGAAAGGGCACACUGGACUGUCUCCAUCUGCCGACCAAGCCAGCAGAGGCUCUGAGCCCUGGCUGCAGGGGGCACCCCACCUACUCCUGGCCUGGCCCAUACCCCUCGCAGGGGACUCUGGGGGCCGGGGGACUCUGGCUGUGUCUCAGGCUUGCUGGGGAGAGAGGUCCAAGUCCUUGCCCUCUUGUGCCUUGUCGGCUGUCUCUGUUAGAAAGGGGUUUUCCUUUUUCUCACGCCCCUUUCCUAGAACCACCACCAAGGAUAAAUAAAUGGAGAAAACCUGACAUGAUCCAGACUUGUGCCUGGUGGGGCUCAGCUGCUUCUCUGUGAGAUGAGACUGUGUGUGGGUCAAGGCUAUUUCUGGGCGGAAGGGAAAGGGGCAUUGACCCGCGGGCCAUCAGAAAAAGGACUCUGUCCUCAAGGGGCUUGCACUGGACGCAUCAGUGAAAACCCUGGAAGCAUUUUCAGAACACACUUAAAGCUACAGAUUGCACAGUCCUGUAGCUGAGUUUUCGCAGACCCUUUCAAGGGUCACUGCUGGCCCCACCCACACCAGAAAGCCCCUCCUGCCUGCUCGGCUCACCGGGACCCUUCUUUCCCACACUACACGGCUCAGCUUUAGGCGCUGCAGGAUGGGAUUCCUCCUGCCUCCACCUACCACAUCCAACUUCAAAGACCCCAGAGCCUGGGUCAGAUGUGCUAGCUGGCCCCAGGCCUCUGCACACACUGCACCCCACUCCUGCCCUCCCUGACCUCUUUGCUAACGCCUACCCCUCUCUUAGAAUUCAGCCCAGGAAGAGCCUCCUUACAGAGCUCCUCAUUCGUCAGAGUGCCCCACAGAGCCCCCUUGGCACCCUAGG
rnacentral:lncRNA from 1 species